CUAUCCGUCGCAGGCGUAGGAAAUUUGAGAAGACCUGUCCUUAGUACGAGAGGACCGGGAUGGACGUACCUCUGGUGUACCAGUUGUUCUGCCAAGGGCAUGGCUGGGUAGCUAUGUACGGAAUGGAUAAGCGCUGAAAGCAUCUAAGCGCGAAGCCAACUUCAAGAUAAGAUUUCCCACCGCAAGGGUAAGACCCCAGAAAGACUAUCUGGUUGAUAGGUCGAAGGUGUAAGUGCAGCAAUGUAUUUAGCUUAUCGAUACUAAUAGGUCGAGGACUUGACCAAU
rnacentral:rRNA from 1 species